CCCUUAGAUGUUCGGGGCCGCACGCGCGCUACACUGAAGGAAUCAGCACGUCUUUCUCCUUGUCCGAAAGGACUGGGUAACCCGCUGAACCUCCUUCGUGCUAGGGAUUGGGGCUUGUAAUUCUUCCCCAUGAACGAGGAAUUCCCAGUAAGCGCGAGUCAUAAGCUCGCGUUGAUUACGUCCCUGCCCUUUGUACAUACCGCCCGUCGCUACUACCGAUUGGAUGGUUUAGUGAGAUCCUCGGAUUGGUCCCGGAGCGGCCUCUGGUCGUGCCGGAGUGCCGAAAAGAAUGUCGAACUUGAUCAUCUAGAGGAAGUAAAAGUCGUAACA
rnacentral:rRNA from 1 species